UGAGGAAUAUUGGGCAAUGCCCGCAAGGGUGACCCAGCAACGCCGCGUGGAGGAUGAAUGUCGUAAGAUUGUAAACUCCUGUUAGAGGGGAAGAAUAGUACCGGUUGGACCGGUAUAUGACUGUACCCUCAGAGAAAGCCCCGGCUAACUACGUGCCAGCAGCCGCGGUAAUACGUAGGGGGCAAGCGUUGUCCGGAUUUACUGGGUGUAAAGGGCGCGCAGGCGGGAUAAAAAGUCAGUGGUGAAAUCCUACAGCUUAACUGUAGAACUGCCUUUGAUACUUUUAUUCUUGAGUUCGGGAGAGAGAGACGGAAUUCCAGGUGUAGUGGUGAAAUACGUAGAUAUCUGGAAGAACACCAGUUGCGAAGGCGGUCUCUUGGUCCGACGCUGACGCUGAGGCGCGAAAGCGUGGGGAGCAAACA
rnacentral:rRNA from 1 species